rnacentral:rRNA from 1 species
GUAGGGGGCGAGCGUUGUCCGGAUUUAUUGGGCGUAAAGAGCUCGUAGGCGGUUUGGUAAGUUGGAUGUGAAAUCUCCAGGCUCAACUUGGAGGGGUCAUUCGAUACUGCCAUGACUAGAGUUCGGUAGGGGAGUGUGGAAUUCCUGGUGGAGCGGUGAAAUGCGCAGAUAUCAGGAGGAACACCCGUAGCGAAGGCGGCACUCUGGGCCGGAACUGACGCUGAGGAGCGAAAGCGUGGGGAGCGAACAGGAUUAGAUACCCUGGUAGUCCACGCCGUAAACGUUGGGCACUAGGUGUGGGGUUCUAUCGACGGAUUCCGUGCCGUAGCUAACGCAUUAAGUGCCCCGCCUGGGGAGUACGGCCGCAAGGCUA